CAUCCUCGUUCUUCGCUUGGAACUGGUAGAAGCCAUCACAUUAGUACCACUGAGUUCUCCUGGGGGAGCAAAGAGCUUCAUGGUGUGGCACAGGCAACUGAGAUUCUGCUCAGGGGUUUUAGAUGACGAUUGCAGUUUGAAUUGCUGAAUCCUUGGACUUACAGGUAUCUCAUAUCUGGUUUUGGUUCUUCUUAGUUAGCUUUUGGGAGUGAGCAAAGCUUGACACAUUUC
rnacentral:lncRNA from 1 species